ACUCCUACGGGAGGCAGCAGUGGGGAAUAUUGGACAAUGGGCGGCAAGCCUGAUCCAGCCAUGCCGCGUGAGUGAUGAAGGCCGUUAGGGUUGUAAAGCUCUUUCGCCGGUGAAGAUAAUGACGGUAACCGGAGAAGAAGCCCCGGCUAACUUCGUGCCAGCAGCCGCGGUAAUACGAAGGGGCUAGCGUUGCUCGGAAUCACUGGGCGUAAAGCGCACGUAGGCGGGUCGUUAAGUCAGAGGUGAAAGCCUGGAGCUCAACUCCAGAACUGCCUUUGAUACUGGCGACCUCGAGUUCGAGAGAGGUUGGUGGAACUCCGAGUGUAGAGGUGAAAUUCGUAGAUAUUCGGAAGAACACCAGUGGCGAAGGCGGCCAACUGGCUCGAUACUGACGCUGAGGUGCGAAAGCGUGGGGAGCAAACAGGAUUAGAUACCC
rnacentral:rRNA from 1 species